AACCGUUAGAAGCACCUUUGAGUGCGGAGUUGGGAGAACGGAGGGUGCUACAACAGCGAAAAAGAUCAAGAUGGCUUCGAGGACAAGCACAAAAGCCUCGACACUACCUUCCCAAGGUGGUGACAAUCCCAAGCCAAAGUCCAGAAAAGACAUACCUCUCCGAAUCGUACCUGCCUGCAGUUCUGAAUCCUCCUUGUAGCCAAGGGGUCUCCGAUGGUGCUGACGAUGAUGAGGUCUCGAUUCCCGGGUUUCGGCACCAGUUGUUCCGCGCUACCGUCUCGCCAGCAAGAACGACGCAGCACACUCAGGAUCCUUCUGCAGUAAAGCUUUAAUGCAUCUUGAGAGGGAGAGCAUAAGCUUACAGAGCAGAGACCCCAAACACCCAAAAACCCAUCCCUUAUAUAGGCUGGCAGCCGCCGCCUAGGACAUGUCACCCCCUGACUGGCUGCAGCUCAU
rnacentral:lncRNA from 1 species